rnacentral:rRNA from 1 species
UGUAUAAUGGGUCAGCGACUUAUAUUCUGUAGCAAGGUUAACCGAAUAGGGGAGCCGAAGGGAAACCGAGUCUUAACUGGGCGUUAAGUUGCAGGGUAUAGACCCGAAACCCGGUGAUCUAGCCAUGGGCAGGUUGAAGGUUGGGUAACACUAACUGGAGGACCGAACCGACUAAUGUUGAAAAAUUAGCGGAUGACUUGUGGCUGGGGGUGAAAGGCCAAUCAAACCGGGAGAUAGCUGGUUCUCCCCGAAAGCUAUUUAGGUAGCGCCUCGUGAAUUCAUCUCCGGGGGUAGAGCACUGUUUCGGCAAGGGGGUCAUCCCGACUUACCAACCCGAUGCAAACUGCGAAUACCGGAGAAUGUUAUCACGGGAGACACACGGCGGGUGCUAACGUCCGUCGUGAAGAGGGAAACAACCCAGACCGCCAGCUAAGGUCCCAAAGUCAUGGUUAAGUGGGAAACGAUGUGGGAAGGCCCAGACAGCCAGGAUGUUGGCUUAGAAGCAGCCAUCAUUUAAAGAAAGCGUAAUAGCUCACUGGUCGAGUCGGCCUGCGCGGAAGAUGUAACGGGGCUAAACCAUGCACCGAAGCUGCGGCAGCGACGCUUAUGCGUUGUUGGGUAGGGGAGCGUUCUGUAAGCCUGUGAAGGUGUACUGUGAGGUAUGCUGGAGGUAUCAGAAGUGCGAAUGCUGACAUAAGUAACGAUAAAGCGGGUGAAAAGCCCGCUCGCCGGAAGACCAAGGGUUCCUGUCCAACGUUAAUCGGGGCAGGGUGAGUCGACCCCUAAGGCGAGGCCGAAAGGCGUAGUCGAUGGGAAACAGGUUAAUAUUCCUGUACUUGGUGUUACUGCGAAGGGGGGACGGAGAAGGCUAUGUUGGCCGGGCGACGGUUGUCCCGGUUUAAGCGUGUAGGCUGGUUUUCCAGGCAAAUCCGGAAAAUCAAGGCUGAGGCGUGAUGACGAGGCACUACGGUGCUGAAGCAACAAAUGCCCUGCUUCCAGGAAAAGCCUCUAAGCAUCAGGUAACAUCAAAUCGUACCCCAAACCGACACAGGUGGUCAGGUAGAGAAUACCAAGGCGCUUGAGAGAACUCGGGUGAAGGAACUAGGCAAAAUGGUGCCGUAACUUCGGGAGAAGGCACGCUGAUAUGUAGGUGAAGUCCCUCGCGGAUGGAGCUGAAAUCAGUCGAAGAUACCAGCUGGCUGCAACUGUUUAUUAAAAACACAGCACUGUGCAAACACGAAAGUGGACGUAUACGGUGUGACGCCUGCCCGGUGCCGGAAGGUUAAUUGAUGGGGUUAGCGGUAACGCGAAGCUCUUGAUCGAAGCCCCGGUAAACGGCGGCCGUAACUAUAACGGUCCUAAGGUAGCGAAAUUCCUUGUCGGGUAAGUUCCGACCUGCACGAAUGGCGUAAUGAUGGCCAGGCUGUCUCCACCCGAGACUCAGUGAAAUUGAACUCGCUGUGAAGAUGCAGUGUACCCGCGGCAAGACGGAAAGACCCCGUGAACCUUUACUAUAGCUUGACACUGAACAUUGAGCCUUGAUGUGUAGGAUAGGUGGGAGGCUUUGAAGUGUGGACGCCAGUCUGCAUGGAGCCGGCCUUGAAAUACCACCCUUUAAUGUUUGAUGUUCUAACGUUGGCCCCUGAUCGGGGUUGCGGACAGUGUCUGGUGGGUAGUUUGACUGGGGCGGUCUCCUCCUAAAGAGUAACGGAGGAGCACGAAGGUUGGCUAAUCCUGGUCGGACAUCAGGAGGUUAGUGCAAUGGCAUAAGCCAGCUUGACUGCGAGCGUGACGGCGCGAGCAGGUGCGAAAGCAGGUCAUAGUGAUCCGGUGGUUCUGAAUGGAAGGGCCAUCGCUCAACGGAUAAAAGGUACUCCGGGGAUAACAGGCUGAUACCGCCCAAGAGUUCAUAUCGACGGCGGUGUUUGGCACCUCGAUGUCGGCUCAUCACAUCCUGGGGCUGAAGUAGGUCCCAAGGGUAUGGCUGUUCGCCAUUUAAAGUGGUACGCGAGCUGGGUUUAGAACGUCGUGAGACAGUUCGGUCCCUAUCUGCCGUGGGCGCUGGAGAACUGAGGGGGGCUGCUCCUAGUACGAGAGGACCGGAGUGGACGCAUCACUGGUGUUCGGGUUGUCAUGCCAAUGGCACUGCCCGGUAGCUAAAUGCGGAAGAGAUAAGUGCUGAAAGCAUCUAAGCACGAAACUUGCCCCGAGAUG